GAUGAACGCUAGCGGCAGGCUUAAUACAUGCAAGUCGAGGGGCAGCAUGGAUGUAGCAAUACAGCUGAUGGCGACCGGCAAACGUGUGAGGAACACGUACGCAACUUACCCAUAACUGAUGAAUAGCCCUCCGAAAGGAGGAUUAAUACACAGUAAUACGUAUGGGUGGCAUCUACGAAAAGUAAUAGCUCCGGCGGUUAUGGAUGGGUGUGCGGCUGUUUAGGGAGUUGGUUGAGGUAACGGCUCACCAAGCCUGCGAUCAGUAACUGGUGUGAGAGCACGACCAGUCACACGGGCACUGAGACACGGGCCCGACUCCUACGGGAGGCAGCAGUAAGGAAUAUUGGUCAAUGGACGCAAGUCUGAACCAGCCAUGCCGCGUGAAGGAUGAAGGUCCUCUGGAUUGUAAACUUCUUUUACAGGGGAAGAAACCCGGAAAUUCUAAUUCGGUUGACGGUACCCUGGGAAUAAGCACCGGCUAACUCCGUGCCAGCCGCCGCUGUAAAAC
rnacentral:rRNA from 1 species